GGGUUGUGAGGUUAAGCGACUAAGCGUACACGGUGGAUGCCCUGGCAGUCAGAGGCGAUGAAGGACGUGCUAAUCUGCGAUAAGCGUCGGUAAGGUGAUAUGAACCGUUAUAACCGGCGAUUUCCGAAUGGGGAAACCCAGUGUGUUUCGACACACUAUCAUUAACUGAAUCCAUAGGUUAAUGAGGCGAACCGGGGGAACUGAAACAUCUAAGUACCCCGAGGAAAAGAAAUCAACCGAGAUUCCCCCAGUAGCGGCGAGCGAACGGGGAGCAGCCCAGAGCCUGAAUCAGUGUGUGUGUUAGUGGAAGCGUCUGGAAAGGCGCGCGAUACAGGGUGACAGCCCCGUACACAAAAAUGCACAUGCUGUGAGCUCGAUGAGUAGGGCGGGACACGUGGUAUCCUGUCUGAAUAUGGGGGGACCAUCCUCCAAGGCUAAAUACUCCUGACUGACCGAUAGUGAACCAGUACCGUGAGGGAAAGGCGAAAAGAACCCCGGCGAGGGGAGUGAAAAAGAACCUGAAACCGUGUACGUACAAGCAGUGGGAGCACGCUUCGGCGUGUGACUGCGUACCUUUUGUAUAAUGGGUCAGCGACUUAUAUUCUGUAGCAAGGUUAACCGAAUAGGGGAGCCGAAGGGAAACCGAGUCUUAACUGGGCGUUAAGUUGCAGGGUAUAGACCCGAAACCCGGUGAUCUAGCCAUGGGCAGGUUGAAGGUUGGGUAACACUAACUGGAGGACCGAACCGACUAAUGUUGAAAAAUUAGCGGAUGACUUGUGGCUGGGGGUGAAAGGCCAAUCAAACCGGGAGAUAGCUGGUUCUCCCCGAAAGCUAUUUAGGUAGCGCCUCGUGAAUUCAUCUCCGGGGGUAGAGCACUGUUUCGGCAAGGGGGUCAUCCCGACUUACCAACCCGAUGCAAACUGCGAAUACCGGAGAAUGUUAUCACGGGAGACACACGGCGGGUGCUAACGUCCGUCGUGAAGAGGGAAACAACCCAGACCGCCAGCUAAGGUCCCAAAGUCAUGGUUAAGUGGGAAACGAUGUGGGAAGGCCCAGACAGCCAGGAUGUUGGCUUAGAAGCAGCCAUCAUUUAAAGAAAGCGUAAUAGCUCACUGGUCGAGUCGGCCUGCGCGGAAGAUGUAACGGGGCUAAACCAUGCACCGAAGCUGCGGCAGCGACGCUUAUGCGUUGUUGGGUAGGGGAGCGUUCUGUAAGCCUGUGAAGGUGUGCUGUGAGGCAUGCUGGAGGUAUCAGAAGUGCGAAUGCUGACAUAAGUAACGAUAAAGCGGGUGAAAAGCCCGCUCGCCGGAAGACCAAGGGUUCCUGUCCAACGUUAAUCGGGGCAGGGUGAGUCGACCCCUAAGGCGAGGCCGAAAGGCGUAGUCGAUGGGAAACAGGUUAAUAUUCCUGUACUUGGUGUUACUGCGAAGGGGGGACGGAGAAGGCUAUGUUGGCCGGGCGACGGUUGUCCCGGUUUAAGCGUGUAGGCUGGUUUUCCAGGCAAAUCCGGAAAAUCAAGGCUGAGGCGUGAUGACGAGGCACUACGGUGCUGAAGCAACAAAUGCCCUGCUUCCAGGAAAAGCCUCUAAGCAUCAGGUAACAUCAAAUCGUACCCCAAACCGACACAGGUGGUCAGGUAGAGAAUACCAAGGCGCUUGAGAGAACUCGGGUGAAGGAACUAGGCAAAAUGGUGCCGUAACUUCGGGAGAAGGCACGCUGAUAUGUAGGUGAAGUCCCUUGCGGAUGGAGCUGAAAUCAGUCGAAGAUACCAGCUGGCUGCAACUGUUUAUUAAAAACACAGCACUGUGCAAACACGAAAGUGGACGUAUACGGUGUGACGCCUGCCCGGUGCCGGAAGGUUAAUUGAUGGGGUUAGCGGUAACGCGAAGCUCUUGAUCGAAGCCCCGGUAAACGGCGGCCGUAACUAUAACGGUCCUAAGGUAGCGAAAUUCCUUGUCGGGUAAGUUCCGACCUGCACGAAUGGCGUAAUGAUGGCCAGGCUGUCUCCACCCGAGACUCAGUGAAAUUGAACUCGCUGUGAAGAUGCAGUGUACCCGCGGCAAGACGGAAAGACCCCGUGAACCUUUACUAUAGCUUGACACUGAACAUUGAGCCUUGAUGUGUAGGAUAGGUGGGAGGCUUUGAAGUGUGGACGCCAGUCUGCAUGGAGCCGACCUUGAAAUACCACCCUUUAAUGUUUGAUGUUCUAACGUGGACCCGUGAUCCGGGUUGCGGACAGUGUCUGGUGGGUAGUUUGACUGGGGCGGUCUCCUCCUAAAGAGUAACGGAGGAGCACGAAGGUUGGCUAAUCCUGGUCGGACAUCAGGAGGUUAGUGCAAUGGCAUAAGCCAGCUUGACUGCGAGCGUGACGGCGCGAGCAGGUGCGAAAGCAGGUCAUAGUGAUCCGGUGGUUCUGAAUGGAAGGGCCAUCGCUCAACGGAUAAAAGGUACUCCGGGGAUAACAGGCUGAUACCGCCCAAGAGUUCAUAUCGACGGCGGUGUUUGGCACCUCGAUGUCGGCUCAUCACAUCCUGGGGCUGAAGUAGGUCCCAAGGGUAUGGCUGUUCGCCAUUUAAAGUGGUACGCGAGCUGGGUUUAGAACGUCGUGAGACAGUUCGGUCCCUAUCUGCCGUGGGCGCUGGAGAACUGAGGGGGGCUGCUCCUAGUACGAGAGGACCGGAGUGGACGCAUCACUGGUGUUCGGGUUGUCAUGCCAAUGGCACUGCCCGGUAGCUAAAUGCGGAAGAGAUAAGUGCUGAAAGCAUCUAAGCACGAAACUUGCCCCGAGAUGAGUUCUCCCUGACUCCUUGAGAGUCCUGAAGGAACGUUGAAGACGACGACGUUGAUAGGCCGGGUGUGUAAGCGCAGCGAUGCGUUGAGCUAACCGGUACUAAUGAACCGUGAGGCUUAACCUUACAACGCCGAAGCUGUU
rnacentral:rRNA from 1 species